GGAGAAGACCCCAGAUCCGCCAACCAUGACCAGAACUUCCGCCAUUGCGUUUGAUGGCAUCAUAAUUCCCUAGAGCAGAGAGACACCUUGGGUCAUAGCCAUUCCGGAAGCUUUGUUUAUAGAGGUGCAGGCACCUCAGCCUGGAGAGUGGGCAUGGCUCACCCAAGAUCAUGCAGCAGGUUAGUUGAAAAGGAAGGUGAGAGUACGAGGUCGGUCCAGCUCUGCAAGCAUCGUGCAGACACAAAGCCAUAUUGCCAUGUCGAGGCUGGACUUGGAGCUCCCUUGAUGACUCCUUACAAGGACAGCUGAAAAUUAUGGCUGCUUCAUAAAUCGGUAACGUGCUCAGAAGAUGGGGGCCCAGCUGCAGAGCACAUGAGUUCAGGCUCCUGCCUCAGCCUCAUGUUUCACGAUGACCUCAGCUUCCUGUGUCAGUGGGAACCCAUGCGAGCACCGGGAGCUUGCGUCUACACCUCCGGUGAGAAUGUAUCACAUGGUAUUGCAGUUUCUCUUGCUGGCCUAGGAGAUGCCUGGGGACCCGGACUGUGUCUUGUUCAUGCAGACACUCUCAGUGCCUUGCACAAUGCCUGGAAUCACAGGCUUUAUGGCACCUUUGAAGAAACAAAAGCUUUACAGAGAAAAGGCUGGUUUGGCAGAGGAGCCUGCCCCCCCCGCCCCCCCCCCCUCAGCUCACUUUCCUAUG